rnacentral:lncRNA from 1 species
UUUUCUAUUUGGAUGCAGCGGUAUGGACCUGUAAUUUCCACCAUCCCGCAGCAGCUGUCUAGGUUCCAGUUCAACAUGGUGAGCUCGUAAGGGUGAUGGGAUUGUGUCCCCAAGGCCUCUUUCGUCAAUCCACUCCGAGCAUCUCUUCGACAUCAAACUGGCUAAUCGACUUAGCAUGACUCGUUUUCUCAGUAACCAUGUUUCCAUGAAUUAUGCAGCACUCUUGGUUUGUAAACUAGACAUGUACCUAUGCUUGUCGUUCAUUUUGCGAUUCUGUUAGUACAUCUCAAAUGUGUUGUAUGCGUGGUGUAUUUUGUGGUUGUAGUUCCGUGUUCUAAUUUAUUUGUGUAUAUGUACCAAUGUAUGUAGUACAAUUUGCAUUAUCUGCUGUAGUAACGCUUCAGACUCGCUUUCUUUUCUGCCGAUGAACUAAGAGUGUUCUUGAAGGAGCUACCCCUUCAAAUCACAAGCUUCCUUAUUAUUUUCGGCAGUGUACCAGAAUCUUUUCAGCUUUCCUCAAUGUUUUUGACAGCGUAUUUGUAAGCCUUUUGAAUGCCUGCCCUUGGUCAUGUGUAAGUUCAGGCAUGUCCAGUAGGCAUGUGGAUGUUUGCCUUGCUGAGCUAAGGGGUGACCAAAAUUCCAAAAGCAUCUGUAAUUUGGUCUGAGAUCAUAACGUUGCUGUUGUCUGCUUUACAUAUUCAAAUAGUAACAACCAUUUCUGUUAUGCAAUUUUUCUCUUAGACAUACUCACUAAAUUCCAGAAGAACGAAAGUCCUAUUCUAAGCCCGAGCUCAGAUCAUAGCCGUCAAGGUUUCUCGCGAUCCCCACCGCUGCAGGUAUAUCAGAACGUAUUUGGGCAACGCCCGUCACCCGCCAGGUAGCGGCUCAGAUGGGGACGCCCUUUCUUGGGCCACGGCUCAGACGGUAGGUGGUAAACGGCCGGAGUCCAUCCAGCCCCACUUAUACAUCUGCCUCCUUCCACUAGAAGAAUCCACACCCUCCCACCCGUUGCCUUAUCUUCUCCAAUCUCGCUUGCAACCAUCAAAACCAAGAAGAUGGCAAGCUUCUACUCCUCCCAGGCCGGCUGGGUGCUCCCGCUGAUCCCUUGUUCAUAACAACAGCAGAUGAAUCUGCUGACAUCGCAUACAAACCACUUACAGCACAGGACAGACAACAUUCCAUCAGACUUAGCAUUUUUCAAAUUUCAUAACCUACUCCAUAACCUGGCAUUCUUUUUUGAUCAUUCUUUUUACAUGCCUCCUGCUAGUUCUACUGCCAUUGCUUUAUGAAAAUUGUUUCGUCGAUGACCUUCGACGCCACAGUUCUUGCAUCUAGCUGGCUUCCUACGACAGUUCUUGUGACCUUGCCUACGACAAAUCGUGCAAAAUCUGGUCCGUUUAGCAUAUGGUUUGCACUCUCACUCCUCUGGGUGCUAGUCAUCUUCGCACAGAAAACGCCCUUAAAAUAAGGUUUCGCCCAUUUCUUACGAAUCUCAAACAGGUUUGUCAUGUACGGAUGAGAUCUCAGCUUGUACUUGUCCAGCAACAUCUCCCAACCUUUUUCAAACUCAUCUUCCGACAGCAUGUGCUUUAUCACCUUAUAAAAUUCAGCCCUGAAUUCACUUUUCUUUGUGUACAAACUACCGAGUGUCUCUUUUGCCUUUUUCAGGAUAUGCCACUUGCACCAUCGGUCGGUCGUGUUUGGCAUAACGUUCUUGAUCGCUAGCUCCAUAGCCCGGUUCUGAUCUGCACAUGUGAAUGCACAACACCAUCACCUUAUAAAAUUCAGCCCUGAAUUCACUUUUCUUUGUGUACAAACUACCGAGUGUAUCUAACUCAUAGGAGCAAUCGGUGAGCUGUUCAGUAUUCACAACCUAUAGGACGAAAUUACCUGUUAGUAUGGUCACAGGUGGAGAACCUCCCAUCAUUCGGAGGAAUUCUGAGAAAACCCAUACAAAACUAUCUUCAGUUUCAUCACGCACAAGCACACCUGCCAGGGUCACACUCUGGAAAUGGUUGUUCACGCCAACAAACAAUCAGAAAGGCAUGUCAUACAGGUUAGUCUGGUAGGUUGUGUCAAACGUGAUCACAUCCCCAAAAAAAGAGUAUUGCAGUCUACUGCUCUCGCUUGCCCACAUCAGAUUCUUGAUCCUCCCCUCGUUGUCAAAUUGAACCCUGUACGUGAAGUGUGGAUCUUUAGCUCCUAUCUCAGCAAACACAUAAAUUGUCUUCUUCACGUCAUCUUCUGCAUGGUCCCUGUUUAUCUUCCCGCACAAAUUACGCAAAGACCUCUUUGUGAACGGAACAUUCUCCAUCAAUCCAAAAACCCUCCAAUGAUGCUGUACACCUUCGCCAAGUUCACAUUGUUCUGCCUCAACUGCUUCACAAGAUCUCUGAUGUACACAUCUAUAUGCUUGUGAGAUGGCCAGUGGAUUGUCUCACCAAAAUUAGGCGACAACGAGUGGUUGUGCGUAUCCCUGUGCUCCGCUAUAUACCAUCCGUUGUGCUCCACUCGUAGCAGCCUAAUUAGAGCAGGACACUCACAGUGACAAGAUCUCGUCUUCUCAACCCCAGCUUUUCCCUGUGAAAAUGUUUUCACAUGUUAGUAUGUUAGCAGAGACACAUGGAAAAUACUCUCAUUUGCAUGUUCUAAUAGAAAAAAAAAACUUUAACUCACCGAGCAACCACAAACUAUUUCCUGCAUGCAUUUGGUCCUCUCCACAUUUAACCUGCUUUUGCCAUAACGAAUGCCAAAUCCCUUCUCCCAGGAGUACAAAUUGUAGAAGUCGUAUGCCUGACCCACCGAGUCGAACGUUGUGCCGAUAACUGGCGUGAUAACAUUCUCCGUUGGAUUCUCAGCAAACCUCCGUACUGCCUUCUCGAACGCACUGACGCGGUUAGGACACGGUUGCCUGCUCGGUGCUGCAGCUCCAAUCCUCAACCUGCGAAAUAAAGCCAACUUCACAUUUCAAUACAAAUCGAUCCAGUAAUUUUCCCAGCAAAUAAUGUUCUCUCACACACGAUGCAUGCAAAAACUAGGUCACACUCCAUACAAUUGUAGACUCAUGCAAUUAUAUGUCCAAUGGGUGUUCCAACCGAAAAUAAUUCUAUGAAACCCUAGCUUUAAUUUUUCACGACUGUUCUAAUCUAUAAUACCUAAAUAGUUCAUCCCCACUAAACUAAUUCUCUUGACAUGCAGCCUAUCCACAUCAGCGGCCUCACUACCUCAUCAUCCUUACUGAUUUUUUUUAGACAAUCAUCCUUUUUUUUACCAAAGGAUUUUCUCCGCAUCGCAACACUUCCUGUCUUCACGGCAGCAUUCUUUUUCCCUGAUUUUUUUGUGUGGAAACGCCUCUUGAUUUUCUCUCCCACUUGUCUGCAUCGCAACACUUCCUGUCUUCACGGCAGCAUUCUUUUUCCCUGAGAAUUUUUUAUGGAAACGCCUCUUGAUUUUCUCUCCCACUUGGCCUUCUUUAAUCUCCAUCAAAUCCCACUAAUACCCUUCCUGGUGGAGGGUAAUCAACGCACGCCACCCCCACGAGGCCCCUCGGCUCAUCUCCCUUGGGCUUCAUCCCCCAUAAAUCCACCGCCCCUCUUUUCGUUCACCCACGCACGUAGGCUAAUCCUACAUCAGGCUCGCUCCUCCUCUUUCUCACAUCCAUGGCGAUAAUGAUGCGUGCGUGGAUGAUUAUCAUGAUCCUAGGGCGACAACGCGUGUGUACCUGCCUCCUCCACCUCCAUUGUGGUGUCCUCACUUCCUCCCUCAAAGUCAUCGUCACCGUCUACCUAAGCCAUCAAGGACACCAGCACCAAUAGCAGUAAUACCUCAAGGUCCACCUCGCCGGCGAGCAGCAUGGCGUCCUCACCUACCCGCUCACCUCGUCGUCCGACAUCAUCGUCAUAUAGAAGCAGCACAUGCGGCCGUCCUACGACAAACUCACGAUGAGUCCACCACUACUGACAACAACACCAAGAUCGCAUGAAGCUGGACCAUGAGCUGACGAGUUCCUGGCCAUACUCGACCUAAUAUGAAGAAACUACUCGGGUAUGAGGAGGCCACAGAUUGUUUUUUUUUCAACAAGCCUUUGCCAUGCGUGAUUUGAAGAAGCCUGGCUGGUGGCUCCACCACCAUGGGUGUCUACUCUAUGAUGCCGACAACAUGUAGAUGCCAUUCGGAAAUCCUCUCUUUUUUUCCGAAAAGAUUCAGAAAUCCUCUCUGUAUACAACUUUUUCGCACUGCCUUAAACCAUGGGCCUAUGAUGCCGGCAACACGUAUAUGCCAUUAGGUUCCUCUCUGGAUACAUUUUUUCAACUCUGCCUUAAUUUGUUGUACAAUAUGAUGAAUCGAUACCCUAAAUUCUUGUGGUUUUGGAACUGUGUUGUAUGGAUGGGUGAGUGCAUCCCUCCUUUGUUCAUGCUGGUGAUAGUGGUAAGCAAUUUUUGGAUUCGAUGUAAUAUUUUUUUCCAAGCAAGAGAUGGUAAGUCGAUAUAUACUUGAACACAGUUAAAUUUGUUUCAGGAAAGGGAGCACUACUAUUAAUGAUUGUUUAUCUCAUCUCCAUCGAAGUUGCUUUCAAUUAUUUUUUGUCUGCUAUAUACUUGCAGGUAAGUUCUUAAUGCUUCAACUAACCAUGCCUCUUCGUCACACCAGAUAUUUGCAUAUAUCAGAACGCAUCCCCGGUGACAGAAACUUCAGAAAUUGCUCAACUAAGUAACUUUUCAUUACUAAAUUUCAUUAAAUAUAUUGUACUUCCUACCCCAUUGUAUGUGUGUACAUUAAUUUUCAUUGUGCAACUCUCAGAACGACUUAACUUCUUCCGCUGCAUAUUUUCUGCAUGGAGUUAUCUGAACUAUAAUGUGGUAACCAUAUUUUGCGAGCCCCCAAUCUGCUAUGUGUCAAAUUUGAGUUAUGCCAUUUAAUUGAUGAAAGUUUAACUUCAUCAUGGAACAUGAUUGUGUAAGCUUUUCCAAGCAAUGCCUCGCCUGGUGUCAUGCCUUUUAUUUCUUUAUUCGAUCAUUGCCUGUUUUCUUUGUUAUACAUACACCUCCAAAAGAUUGACAAAAUUUCCCGCAGCAACGCGCGGGGGUAUCAUCUAGUAUGUACAAAUACACUAGAUCAUUGCCUCACAUCUAAAGUACAAGAUUCGCUGCACACAUGCUGACCACCUAGUUCCUCCAAAAAUAAGCAAGACCACAAGAAUAUGUGAUGUUCUGCACUAAUAGUAAUCUGAUGGUUCUUUCACUAUCAGUAUGUCAGUUAUCUGCUAAACAUGCCCAACACACACAACUGACCUCUUGUUCCACCCAGGGGCUCGCGGAUUCAUCUUCGCAGUGGACAACUCUGACGACGGAGGUGAGCUCUCCAACCUAACCUCGGCGGACGCCGGUCCUGCCACAAUCUGCGCAUGGCCGCUGGCGGCCUGCUGCACGGGUGGCAAGGUAUCCUGCCGCACAACUGGAAGCUCGACCACCAUAUCUACAACAUGCUGCCCCGCCGCCACAGAGGCCAGCUCCGGCGGCGCCGGCGGUACCAAGCUUUUUCCAACCUCUUCCAAGAAAGUGGAUCUGAUACAGGCGCUAAAGCAUGUUAAAUCCAGAGAAACGAGACAACUGGGGGCUAGGGACGGCGGGGGACGGGCGUCGCGGGCGGAGAGAAAGGGCUCUGUGACGUACCCGCGUAUUGGUUGCAGCAGGAACUCCAUUGCUGGUCGCCGGCGGCGCCCGUCGANNNNNNNNNNNNNNNNNNNNNNNNNNNNNNNNNNNNNNNNNNNNNNNNNNNNNNNNNNNNNNNNNNNNNNNNNNNNNNNNNNNNNNNNNNNNNNNNNNNNNNNNNNNNNNNNNNNNNNNNNNNNNNNNNNNNNNNNNNNNNNNNNNNNNNNNNNNNNNNNNNNNNNNNNNNNNNNNNNNNNNNNNNNNNNNNNNNNNNNNNNNNNNNNNNNNNNNNNNNNNNNNNNNNNNNNNNNNNNNNNNNNNNNNNNNNNNNNNNNNNNNNNNNNNNNNNNNNNNNNNNNNNNNNNNNNNNNNNNNNNNNNNNNNNNNNNNNNNNNNNNNNNNNNNNNNNNNNNNNNNNNNNNNNNNNNNNNNNNNNNNNNNNNNNNNNNNNNNNNNNNNNNNNNNNNNNNNNNNNNNNNNNNNNNNNNNNNNNNNNNNNNNNNNNNNNNNNNNNNNUAAUGCCGAUUCUAGCCCACGGCCCAAAUGGUCAUGGUUGACGGACGUCCCCCCGCACGUUACAGACAAGCCCACCAACCCUACCUGCCGCGUACGUAUUUCUGCACAGUACAAAUUUUCUAUCGUUUUUCCUGUGCUCGUAUUACCUCGCGGCACACAUCCACAUGGGCUAUCGAACGCACCAGAUAACGAGCUCAGCUGAGCUCGGGCGCAAUAACUCCGCAUCCCUCCAGAAGAGCCUUUUCAUUAUGCAAUUUCUCCCUUACACAUAUCCACUGAUUCCAGAAGAAGAAUGAGAUUAGAUUUUGGUUAAAAAAAUAAAAAAAAUAGGCAUGGGAGGCCACUCCAUACCAAAACCACUAUAUCUGGGGAAGAUUUCUUCACCACCUUUCACCACUUGGGUGAAAGUGACUGGAGGACCUAUAUACACCUGACACGUGCAAAUGUUAGGGACGUCAUAGUGUAGAUAAUGCCUAUGGAUCUAGCGCGUGCCUUCAAAUUUUCUUACCAUGUUGCACAUCUUUGCGUGUGGACCUAGCUAUUUUGGGGGAGAUUGGGGACAUUCUGAUUGUAGCUACCUCGGCCAUGUGCGCUGCAUGGGCUCAAGUUGACUACGUAGGUCCUGUUUUGUUUGUUGAGCUCAAGUUGAGCUCAGAACACCCAUCCUUCCCUACAAUGCCCACGUCCGGUGCUCAUUGCCGGAGCCCCAUUGUCGGGCCUUAUAUCCAUUCGGGUGCCCGUCCCUCCUUCUCUCCUCCAUCGCCGCAGCUUCAUAUGUUCGUCGUGCCCCUUCUCCCAGCCAGGAACUCCAACCAUGACGUGGCGGCCGGAUCGAGCCCAUAUGGCGUGGCGACGACGACACCCGCGGUUCCCGCUGGCCCAAUCGGGUUCUUCUGCUCUCCCCAUCCUCUCUCGGUGUGAGCCACCUGCAGCAACCCAAAGGCUGAGGACAUCUUCCGGGCUACAACGCAGACCUGCUUCGGCAGUUCCCGUAUGGAGCCACGCGCACAACCCGGUCUCAAAGAAAGGCCCAUCUCGACACAGAGCAUCACCUAGCGUGGCUGGCAACUCUCAACCGAGAUCCCUGUGGUGGGGCAGUGUGGCGGCAUGCGAGGCCAUCCGGUGAGCACCCUCCAGCACACGACGCACGGCACAACGACGCCCUCCGGCGUGGCUGACCGCGGCCGCGGCCGUGGUCCUACAGGUGCGCUUUGCGUGGGGUCAACCUCCCGGCGCAGUGCCCUCCGGGCCGGGGAGCACCGUCGCAUGCUGCCGACCCGAGGGUAGCCCUUCAUGCUGCCUCGUGGUGCCGCCGUCUGCUUAAGUACAGGACACGUGUUUGCUGCCGGCGGCGGCCAGGGCGAGCGCGGGUUGCCGAGUCGACCCGCGGUCGACUGAGUGAAUGCCCAAUGUCUAAUCUUGGCUGUCGAGUAUCUGUAUUUUUACGGGCUUGAAGCUAUGUACCACUUGAUUUUAUCUUAUUGAAUAAAGUUAGCCUGCUGCAUGGCAACCGCGUAUUCUAUUAAUUUGCAUAUUGGCCAACGUGUGUAUGCACUAGCAACAGCUGAUGUGACUACGUGCAUGCGCACCUCCAAGAUGCUUUCAAGGGGUACGCACGGUAUCAGUUUUUCCCAGUUGUGUUCGGCGUGGCUCCUAUGUAUAGUUUAUGUGUAUAUCAGUAUAUGGCCGAUGCGUGCUAACGCACACUUUUAGUUAGUUUUAUUCCCUCAUGAAGGCCAUGCAGGAACAACAGAUAGAGGUCAUUUUAUCUAAUUCAAAAGUGAUAUAUUUCCAACUGUGUUUAAUGAUGUCCGGACAUUGGCAAAUUUGAAAGUUGAAACACCUUGGCUGAUAGAGAAACAGAUGAGCUCAAAUGUUGUUCCUCUGUGAUUAAACUCAUUCGAUGCCGACCAGGUAGAAUUGGGACCUAAUGAUGCUACAGCACCUGCAGAUCGGGCUGCAGGAGUUCAUAAUGAUGGGACUACACCUCGGGAUAGUAGAUUUUGCUUUGUGUAUUCUAGAAAGUGAUUUUGCAGGAGAAGGAAUGGUUAUGCCAACAUUUCAAAAGAUGAUUCAAAUCCUAAAAGCAAAGCUACUUCUGUGGUGUUUCUUGCUUUAGCUACUGGUGGGGAGGAUGAUACUAAAACUGGUGCUUCAGUGAAAUAUGUCAUGUUGUUUUCCACUUAAAUAUGUUUACAUGUUAAUUUCUGAAGCUUGCAGUGUUAGGCUUCCGAGUACUUUGGUUCACAUGAGCAUGGUUCAUUGAUCAUACCUUACGACAUGCAGUAUGUCCGAACAUAAAAACGAUGUCUUCCUGCUUCCACAUUUCUAUAUAGUACAAGGUUUUGUUAGCAUAAGCUAAUAACAUUUACUGUAAAUAGUAAACACAAUCCAUAUGAACACACCAUAUCGAGAGGCGCGGCGUGCCGCCGCACGGGAUUUGCUAGUUAUAUACUAUAGCAUAUUCUGGACACCCCGUUGCAGCCAAUGUUUGGGAUUCCAUGCUCAGCUUCUGAAUCAAUUAUCGACUGGGAACUCUACGGUCAAGCAUAGCGUGUAUGGAAAUGAACUUUCUAUGGAUUCAUAGCCUUCAGCAAACCCAUGGUAUCGUAUUUUUUCUAAUGAAAUUCAGACCCCACACAAAGUCUGCUCAAACAUGGCUAUGUUUUGCUCUGCGACUUAUAUUAUUAAAUCGUACCGUUAUUAUGGGUCUUAAAUGUGAUGAAAGUCUGAAAUCUGUUUUCUAUUUGGAUGCAGAGGUAUGGACCUGUAAUUUCCACCAUCCCGCAGCAGCUGUCUAGGUUCCAGUUCAACAUGGUGAGCUCGUAAGGGUGAUGAGAUAGUGUCCCCAAGGCCUCUUUUGGCAACCCAUUCUGAGCGUCUCUUCGACAUCAAACUGGCUAAUCGACUUAGCAUGACUUGUUUUCUCAGUAACCAUGUUUCCAUGAAUUAUGCGGCACUGUUGGUCUAAAAACUAGACAUGUACCUAUGUUUGUCAUUCAUUUUGCGAUUCUGUUAGUACAUCUCAAAUGUGUUGUAUGUGUGGUGUAUUUUGUGGUUGUUGUUCCGUGUUCUAAUUUACUUUGUGUAUAUGGACCAAUGUAUGUAUUUAUAAUUUGCAUGAUCUCCUAUAGUAAGUCUUCAGGCUCGCUCUCUAUUGUCCGCCGAUGAACUGAGAAUGUUUUUGACAGCGUAUGGUAAGCAUUUUUGAAUGGCUGUCCUUGGUCAUG